rnacentral:rRNA from 1 species
ACGAACGCUGGCGGCGUGCCUAAUACAUGCAAGUCGAGCGGACCGAACGGAAGCUUGCUUCUGUUCGGUUAGCGGCGGACGGGUGAGUAACACGUGGGUAACCUGCCCGUAAGACCGGGAUAACUCCGGGAAACCGGGGCUAAUACCGGAUAACACCGAAGACCGCAUGGUCUUUGGUUGAAAGGUGGCUUUUGCUACCACUUACGGAUGGGCCCGCGGCGCAUUAGCUAGUUGGUGAGGUAACGGCUCACCAAGGCGACGAUGCGUAGCCGGCCUGAGAGGGUGACCGGCCACACUGGGACUGAGACACGGCCCAGACUCCUACGGGAGGCAGCAGUAGGGAAUCUUCCGCAAUGGACGAAAGUCUGACGGAGCGACGCCGCGUGAGCGAAGAAGGUCUUCGGAUCGUAAAGCUCUGUUGUUAGGGAAGAAGAAGUACCGUUCGAAUAGGGCGGUACGGUGACGGUACCUAACGAGAAAGCCCCGGCUAACUACGUGCCAGCAGCCGCGGUAAUACGUAGGGGGCGAGCGUUGUCCGGAAUUAUUGGGCGUAAAGCGCGCGCAGGCGGUCCCUUAAGUCUGAUGUGAAAGCCCACGGCUCAACCGUGGAGGGUCAUUGGAAACUGGGGGACUUAAGUCCAAAAAAGGAAACCGAAUUUCCCACGAAAACCGUUAAAAGGGUUAAAGUUUUGAAGGAC